CGUUGGGAUCAUAUCUGCUUGUCCAUGCUUGAUCUCGUCAGAUUUCAGAAGUUAAGCAAGACUGGGCCCGGUUAGUACUUAGAUGGGAGACCACUGAGGAUAGCAGUGGCUCUAGUUU
rnacentral:rRNA from 1 species